GGACGCCCGAUUAUCGUUCCUGUUGGACCAGGCUGAAGACCUGGGAUCUUGGUCCCCUCCAGCCGGGUCGCCCCCUAGGUCCCCAAGGAGGCUGCUAAGAAGGGAAGGAGAUUCCCUGGAGGCCAGAAGACUUUGAAUUGUACAGAUUCUAUUUUACCCAAGGGAGUUUCAGACAAGACUUCUGGCAAGACUGGGACCCACCUUAUCUGGCUUCACUCAGGAGCCCUGGCUCAAAUGGACCAAAGGACUGCCCUCCAGGGAAGAAGCUACUAGGGUCAUCAGAGUGUUGGAUGAUGGUCAGGCCAUAGCCCACACAUGCUUGAGCAGCAGCAGCAUCUGGUGCAGCUGACCCCUCCCUCCUUGAAGCACUUUCUCUCCCUGCUUCCAGCCCUUCUCUCUGCACCUCUCUGGUCAGGCCUAGUCACUAGCCCAGCAUGUCAACUUUGGCAUGACCCAGGGCCAUGGCGUUGACAUCUGUAUCUGCACCCACCCAUAGGUGCUCUUGUCUAGCUUAAUGACUCUAAACCCCGUCUCUAUUCUGAUAAUCCUCAAAUUUCUGUCUGUAACCUAGACCUGGCCACGAAACCUUGGGCUCCUACCUCAUCACCAUUUCUACCCAAGGGUUUAAAAGACAUCUCAAAUUCCAUAGGUCCUAAAUGGAGUUUCCAAUCUUUCCCCCUAAGCGUGCCUCUCCCCAGCUUGCUUUCUUUCUUUUUUUGGAUGGAUUCUA
rnacentral:sRNA from 1 species